AUUGAACGCUGGCGGCAGGCCUAACACAUGCAAGUCGAGCGGAUGAAGGGAGCUUGCUCCUGGAUUCAGCGGCGGACGGGUGAGUAAUGCCUAGGAAUCUGCCUGGUUGUGGGGGAUAACGUCCGGAAACGGGCGCUAAUACCGCAUACGUCCUGAGGGAGAAAGUGGGGGAUCUUCGGACCUCACGCUAUCAGAUGAGCCUAGGUCGGAUUAGCUAGUUGGUGGGGUAAAGGCCUACCAAGGCGACGAUCCGUAACUGGUCUGAGAGGAUGAUCAGUCACACUGGAACUGAGACACGGUCCAGACUCCUACGGGAGGCAGCAGUGGGGAAUAUUGGACAAUGGGCGGAAGCCUGAUCCAGCCAUGCCGCGUGUGUGAAGAAGGUCUUCGGAUUGUAAAGCACUUUGAGUUGGGAAGAAGGGCAGUAAGUUAAUACCUUGCUGUUUUGACGUUACCAACAGAAUAAGCACCGGCUAACUUCGUG
rnacentral:rRNA from 1 species